rnacentral:rRNA from 1 species
CAGCAGCCGCGGGAAUACGGAGGGAGCUAGCGUUAUUCGGAAUUACUGGGCGUAAAGCGCACGUAGGCGGCUUUGUAAGUUAGAGGUGAAAGCCUGGAGCUCAACUCCAGAAUUGCCUUUAAGACUGCAUCGCUUGAAUCCAGGAGAGGUGAGUGGAAUUCCGAGUGUAGAGGUGAAAUUCGUAGAUAUUCGGAGGAACACCAGUGGCGAAGGCUGCUCACUGGACUGGUAUUGACGCUGAGGUGCGAAAGCGUGGGGAGCAAACAGGAUUAGAUACCCCCGUAGUCCCUGUCUCUUAUAU